rnacentral:rRNA from 1 species
GAGUGGCCGAUAUCGGAUUAGCUAGUUGGUGAGGUAAAGGCUUACCAAGGCGACGAUCCGUAGCUGGUUUGAGAGAACGACCAGCCACACUGGGACUGAGACACGGCCCAGACUCCUACGGGAGGCAGCAGUGGGGAAUUUUGGACAAUGGGGGCAACCCUGAUCCAGCCAUGCCGCGUGAGUGAAGAAGGCCUUCGGGUUGUAAACCCCUUUCGGGAGGGAAGAUGGAAUGGGGUAACCCAUUUGGACGGUACCUCCAGAAGCAGCCACGGCUAACUUCGUGCCAGCAGCCGCGGUAAUACGAAGGUGGCAAGCGUUGUUCGGAUUUACUGGGCGUACAGGGAGCGUAGGCGGUUCGGUAAGCCCUUUGUGAAAUCUCCAGGCUUAACCUGGAAUGGUCGGAGGGGACUGCCGGGCUAGAGGACGGGAGAGGAGCGCGGAAUUCCCGGUGUAGCGGUGAAAUGCGUAGAGAUCGGGAGGAAGGCCGGUGGCGAAGGCGGCGCUCUGGAACGUUUCUGACGCUGAGGCUCGAAAGCGUGGGGAGCAAACAGGAUUAGAU